CUAUGAGUGAAUAUAAUCUAGACGUUUGAAAAUUGUUUUUAUAUUUGUAAUUUAUAGCUCCUAAAUAAUUCUUUGGUAAUAUAAUAUGUAAUCAAUGCAGAAAACUUGAAAGUUACAAAAAAUCCAAAAAACAUUUUACCCACAAUUCUACCACCAAGAGAUAACCAGUAUUAAUGCCUUGGCCAGUAUCCCAGUUAGUUUCUAAUACAUGCAUAAGUAUUUAUACAUGUGCAUUGGUACAAGAAAUCUGACUAUACACAUUAUUUUACAACCAUUUUCCACUUUUUGGAAUGAGAGUUUUUCCAUGAUAUUUUGCAUUUUUUAUAAUACAGUUUUAACGGAUGCAUAGUAUUUAAUUACAUUGUUGAGUCUCAGUUGAGUUAACCUAAGCCACUAUUUAUGUACAUUUGUUUCCAGUUUUUCAUCUUUAUAAAUAGUUGGAUGCCUAUCUAUUUCCUUGCUUUUAAUUAUUUCCUCAGGGCACACUCCUAAAAGUGAAAUUGCUUGGUUAAACUCCUGAGACUUUGGAUAUAUGAUGAAAAAGGUCCCCUGGAAAAAAAAAAAAAAAAAACCCAUGCUGAUAUAGACUUCCACUAGCUGGAAACAUGUCCACUCUCAUCAUACCUCACUUUUACUAGGUACUUGUUUUGAUUUUUAACUUUUGUCAUUUUAGUAGUCAUAAAAUGACUAAAAAACAGUGUUCUAUGCUUUAUAUUUCACGUGAAAUUAGAAUACAUAUUUAAUGAUGCUUUAAGAUUUGUAAUGCUGCUUUGAAAAUAAAACUAGAAACAAAAUCUAAUUUAGAGGAAAUGGGAGCUUCUAGGAUAUGAACGUUGUGAAGACAAAGUUCAAGGUUAUGCUGUUUACAAAAGCAAAUCAACAAAUUACAAAGUAAUGCAAGCAAGAGAAUGGAAACCACAACGACUCCCAUUUAAAGAAGGCAAGCAAAAUCAGGGUGGAGAAUUCUUGUUCCUCUGUCCCCUCAAAUCAGAGUUUGCCGUCAUCUCUGAUGAAAAAUAUAUUCUUAGGUUGGUUAAUAUGGUGGCACCUCAGAAUUCCUGUGACUUUUCUCUUGGAAGAGUUUACACUGACAGAAUCUUAAAGAAGCGAGUUGUCAGUGAAGAUGACAUUCUACUAGAAAUGAUAAAACAGUACUGCAGAGAUGAAGUAACUUGCCCUAACGUCCAUACCUGGUAAGUAACAAAAGAAGUAAAUACAUUUGAACAAAUAUUUGAAAAACAUGGAAGUUCUCUAUAAUCUAACACUUCAAAUAUAACCAUAGUUUGGGAUAUGAAUUUAAGUACUUAUUAUAUACACAUAAAAACCAAUAUUUAUAGUUUUUCCAAAAAUGGAAUUAUACUAUAUGUAAAAAUGAGUCUACAAAUUGUUUUUAUGAAUACUUUAUAGAGAUAGAAUGUCUUAUUUUCUCUCUGCUAAUAUGUAGAUGGUAGAGAGCAGAAGGUAGCAAACUGGAAAGGACCAGAUCAUGAAUCCUUAGGCUUUGUGGACCCUACAGUCUCUGUCACAGAUACUUAACCCUGCUGUUGUGUUGCAAAAGCAGCUCUGGGUCAAUAUGUAAGCAAAAGUGUGAUCACAUUCCAAUAAUAUGAGAUUUAUAAAACAAACACCAGGUAACAACUGUCCAGCGGAUUGUGGUUUGCUAAUUCCUGGAAUACAGAAGGAAAAAAACAUUACAUUGAUUUAGAAAACAAUGAAGGUGAGCAGGGAGCAUAAUGUUUAUCCUGGGUGUAGGGGCCAGAAACUGGAUUUGAGUUUCCAUGUCAGCUGUGACCUUGAUUAAGGUAGGUAGACUCACUGCCUCAUGAGUAGAGUGUGAGUACUAAUACCCAGAUUUCAGGGUUAUCCUGAAGCUUAAUGAAAUAAUUCAUGCAAUUCAUCUGUUAGUAGGUAAGAAAACUUGCUUUCUUUGGGGAUAGGGGUAAAAGCAGUAUUUAUGUACUCACAUAGACGAAGCAUUUGAGCAAGGAAGAAGUGGUCGAAUUUGCCGUAUCUCGACAAGUCAAAGAUAUACAUCAUAUGGAUCCCCUCAAAAGUCAUGUUUCCAACUAUUGGCAAAGGUUGUGUAGACAGAACUAUUACCAGAAUGGUCCUGAGAUUUCCUGAGAAAGGAUUAACAUACUUGGCCUGGAACUUUUGCAAUAAAUGAAACAUUAGCGUUAAUUCAUAAUGAUUUAAAAAGAUAGAAGAUAUUUUAGAGGGAAAAAUCUAAUUACAGUGAAAAUAAAAUUUCAUUUAUUCAUCAUUUCCUUCAUUAUUAUUUUUGGGGAAAGAUAAAUAAGUACAUGCAAAGAAUAGCAAAGAAAAACAUCGAAGUGUACUAGGAGACAAUAAGGAAUUGAUGUGAUGCUGCCUAACUGUAAAUUUCUCUUAUUAUACAUCAUAUUUUAUUUAAUCUUCCAGUGUACAUAUUGGGUAAGUUCAAUUGGUAUUUUAAAACAGAAUCUAUAUAGCAGUUCUAAAUAACCUUAUUGCUUUUUUUCUAAUUGAUUUUGAACUUAAUGUAUUUUUUAUGACUUUGUAACUUUGUUUCCUGCUCUGCUUGGUGUAGUUAUACAUUCGGUUGAGUGCUUUAAGAUUUGAACACAGUUUUCUUGUUAUUUUAUUUUGCAGUUGCUUUUCAUUCAG
rnacentral:lncRNA from 1 species